GUCAGGAUGGCCAAGUGGUCUAAGGCAUUGCAUUCAGGUUGCGUCUUCCCUCAAGGCAUGGGUUCGAAUCUCACUUCUGAUA
rnacentral:tRNA from 1 species